ACUGCCGCCGUAGCAGCCGUCGUCGCGGUCGUAUACCAGUGGCCGUGUCGCGCGCGCGUUUCCGGGAGUGUGUACGUGUGUACGUGUGUGUGUGUGUGUGUGUGCGCGCGUCGUAAAGUACGUUUUAUUUUUUAGACUCGCGCGCGGUGCAGUCGCGGUGCACUUUGGUCGCGUGCGGCGUGUUUUACCGACCAUUUGACGGUACCGUAUAUUUUUAUUUCCGGGGUUUUUUUUUCCCUUCGUACGCGCGUCGCGUUUCGCCCCGUCAAAGCUUUCCGGGCAUAGUUGUUCAUUUUUGUUUUGAAAUUUUAAAUCCGUUUUUUUUUUUUCCUGUUUGCUUGAUAUGCUCGUGAAUCGCGCCCGCUAUCGCACGUCGCCGCCGACUCUGUCAACGGCCACUCUCGCGGUGUACGCCGAGUGCGCGUAAUCGUCGCGCGAGCGAUCAUGGAGACCGGUUGAUCGUGCACCGUCGUAAGAGGAUUCUGCAGGUCAGUCCGUCGCCAUUCAUACCCGCACGUUUUA